GCCUUACAUGAUACAACUAUACUGUUAUCCCCAGAGAACUACAAGUGAAAAACUUCAAACUCAAAGGACUUGGCGGUGUCCCAUAUCGACCUAGAGGAGCCUGUCCUAUAAUCGAUACCCCCCGGUCCAACUAAACUUUAAUAACACACUUCAGCCUAUAUACCGCCGUCGACAGUCUACCCCAUGAGGGACCAAUAGUAGACACAACAGCUAACCCCGCUAAUACGUCAGGUCAAGGUGUAGCACAUGUUGAGGGAGAGAUUGGCUACAUUUUUUGUUACAAAAAAUACGAAAUGCAUCAUGAAACACUGCAUGAAGGCGAAUUUAGUAGUAAGAUCAAACAAGAGUGUUUAUCUUAACAACGCUCUGGGACGCGCACACACCGCCCGU
rnacentral:rRNA from 1 species